CGCUAGCACCUCCAUAAUGGAGGCUAUUUGAGAGUGAAAAGCCAUACAGUUAGCCAUUGUUAGCAGCUAGCUAGCGUUACCUAGAUACAAUCUAUCAAACAAAUCCUGUCUGCUAUGCGAAUUAAACACUACCUUGGGAGUUGAAAGCUGCCCCCACCGGACUCCGCACCAAGGGAGAGGGAGGCCAUAGCCGCAUUCUGGAAGUGGUAUGCGGCGAUGGAUGAGACGCUGCAGGGGUUGCCACUCCAUCAACCUACCAGUCAUCAUCUCCUCAUCCUCCUAAGGUGCAUCUGUGGGCUCCUCUCCCUCCCAGAAGGGUCCAGAUGUAGGGGCGGGAGAAGGAGAUAAUCCACCCACGUCUAACCGGCCUCACAACCACAGACCAUGCGUAACCACGCCAGCCCAGGAUCUCCACAUCAGUCUUCUAAACCUGCGAGAUUGUCUGAGACCAGCCACCCGGACUGAGACCAGCAACCGAAGAAUUUCUGCACAAACUGUCAGAAAAGUGGCCUUUUAUAAAAACGGAUUUCAGGCAAUUCUACAUAAUUUUACAUGACUGGAGACUUUGGCAGAAUGUUUUAAUACCGCACAAAUGAUCUUAAAUGACAGGCUACUUUGAUACGGACUAACUGAGAAUCUGAAAUCAAUAAAAACGACCAUAUCUUGAAUCCAUCAAUAGCCUAGGUGUGUGGAGCCGCAUAUUGUUGGCUACAAUAUGAGGAAAUUAGUCCUAAAAUGCUUUCCAGUUAAACUGAUUUGUCCAAUGAUGCGCAGCUCACUCGCUGGUGAUGGCCGAUGCAAUCGUGCCAAAAGCCUUUCUCUCUCGUUUUACUUUGUAAAACAAUAUUUGAAAGUUGAUCAAAAAUGUUGGUAGCCUACAGAUCAUUCUAUGUUCAGCAGGAGCUAUUUGCUUUUCAACCUGUGUUUUCCCGUGAUUGUAUUUGAAAUAUUGCUAAAGGCCUGUUUUGUCUGCAUGCUGUUUGUUCACUGACAGAUUUGCCGUGCGUACCCGCCUUGUUAUUAGGCUACACUCCACAUCUAUUAUUUAAAAGAAGCUAUUGGUCCUCUGACCAAAUGUGUAGUUAGCUAUUCUGAAAUUCUUAUUUUUUUUCUGAACAGACAGCAGUAACUUUGGAAAAUGUAUUUCAAUAUAUCAGGGGUGCUGCAGCUCCUCCAGAAACCUUUGCGUAACUAUGCUUCUACAAGGAAAUAAAGAGGCGCAACUCUGGAGA